rnacentral:lncRNA from 1 species
GUCCCUUCUUUCCGCUCCAACGCACGGAGGGUGAGGUCGGUACGCGGUGGUGGCGUCACGGCGCCAGCUCCUCCCGACGCCGAGACCAUGGGGGCUCAGCUAAGCGGCGGCCGCGGCGCCCCGGAGCCUGCGCAAACCCAGCCCCAGCCCCAGCCCCAGCCUGCGGCGCCGGAGGGCCCGGAACAGCCCCGGCAUCCGCCCCAGCCCCAGCCCCAGCCCCAGCCCCAGCCCCAGCCCGAGCCCAGCCCGUGGGGGCCGCUGGACGACGUGCGCUUCCUCAUCGCCUGCACUUCCUGGUACUGACGGCGUCCUCCGCAGGAUGUCGCCCGUCUGUCCGCCGUCCCCUGUGGUUCUUGCCUGCCUUGUCUCCUCUCCCCACGUCCCUGCGUCUCUUACACCCCCUCCCACCCGAGGCUCCCCAGAGAUAGCAGAGAAUUCGAAGAGGUCGCCGGGGACUGGAAAGAAGUCCCGGCAGGGCCGCCUUCGCAGUCUACACCCCAGCCUGCUUCCCAGCCUACACCCAGACCCAGCUCAGACCUUCGUGACCACCCCAUCCCUUUCUCCGGCUGGCUGGGUCGGGGGCAUCCCUCUCUGUCGCUGGCUUCCAGAGGCAGGACAGGCCUCCUGGUAAGCCCGCAAAGUUGCUGACCUCCUGACUUCGUCUGCCUUUUAUUAAUAUCUGUAUUGCUGAUAACCGUGCUCUUGACUAUGUGUCCCAGGUCAUGUCCCAGGUCAUGGAGAAGCCCGUGCCACAGUGACCCUCCCCAUACUCCUGGGGGGGCUGCUCUCCAUCCUGGAUCGUAAGGAGGCAUCAUCAGGCUGUGUUCCUGGAACCCCAAUAACCCUGGGCCCCCAGGGCCAGCCUGU